UACGUAGGGGGCAAGUGUUGUCCGGAUUUAUUGGGCGUAAAGAGCGUGUAGGCGGCCUGGAAGGUCAGCUGUGAAAACUCGAGGCUCAACCUCGAGACGUCGGUUGAAACCACCUGGCUAGAGUCCGGAAGAGGAGUGUGGAAUUCCCGGUGUAGCGGUGAAAUGCGCAGAUAUCGGGAAGAACACCCGUGGCGAAGGCGGCACUCUGGGACGGUACUGACGCUGAGACGCGAAAGCGUGGGGAGCGAACAGG
rnacentral:rRNA from 1 species